GUGCUCGCUUCGGCAGCACAUAUAUUAAAAUUGGAACGAUACAGAGAAGAUUAGCAUAGCCUCUGCACGAGGAUAACACGCAAAUUCAUGAAGAUUUCCAUAUUAAA
rnacentral:snRNA from 1 species